rnacentral:rRNA from 1 species
UACGUAGGUGGCAAGCGUUUGUCCGGAUUUACUGGGCGUAAAGGGCGUGCAGGCGGUGGGACAAGUCUGCUGUGAAAGCGCCUGGCUUAACCGGGGCGAGUCGGCGGAAAGCUGUCCGACUCGAGGACGGUAGAGGGGGGUGGAAUUCCCGGGUGUAGGUGGUGAAAUGCGUAGAUAUCGAGAGGAACACCUGCGGCGAAGGCGGGUUGCUGGGCCGACACUGACGCUGGAUGCGCGAAAAGCCCAGGGGAGCGAAACGGGG